GGUGCAGUGGUUAAGUGGUUAAGAGCGCUAGGCUUGUAAUCUGGUGAACCGGGUUCGGGUCUCCGCUCCUCCA